CUGGCUUCAACUGCUUCUGUAACUUUUAGCUGCUUGCAGAGGGGAGAGAAGAUGGGGAAUGCUGAGAAAACUUAAAGAUCAUCUCGAGGUUCUGAUGUUCACAACGGGAUUUUGCAACAAGAGAAGAGUUCACCUGUGAGAACAGUCAACACCCAACAUCCAUAGAGAAGUCCCAGCCAACAUCUGCUUGGGUCUGGAAAGAAGCAACUGCCAGACAAUAUGUGGCCGGGAUCUUUAAAGUUCGAGUGGCUUUUGUGUUUUAUCUGUUUGUUCAAUUUAUUAAAAUUCUGAAUCGACUAACCAGAACUUUCUAAACACUUAACUACUCAUUAUGCAACUAAUAAAAGCAUGAACAUUUCAAAUUAUUUUAAUCUUUGAUCUUAACAUCAUGGAUUAUUAAACUUUUAUAUUAUGAAAUAUGAUGCAGAAAAGUGCACAAAACAAAACGAACACUCAAUGAUUUAUC
rnacentral:lncRNA from 10 species